UACGUAGGGUGCAAGCGUUGUCCGGAAUUAUUGGGCGUAAAGAGCUCGUAGGCGGUUCGUCGCGUCGGCUGUGAAAUCCCGAGGCUCAACCUCGGGUCUGCAGUCGAUACGGGCGGACUGGAGUUCGGCAGGGGAGUGUGGAAUUCCCGGUGUAGCGGUGAAAUGCGCAGAUAUCGGGAGGAACACCAGUGGCGAAGGCGGCACUCUGGGCCGGUACUGACGCUGAGGAGCGAAAGCGUGGGGAGCGAACAGG
rnacentral:rRNA from 1 species